rnacentral:lncRNA from 1 species
AUGGAAAAUAACCAGCCAACCGGGCGACCCAAAGCUAAGAUUGGAGCGAAUUGGAAACGUUUCGCCCUCAUGAUGAUAUUUACCAGGAUAUUGACAGUGUUACCCUCAGGGGAGUUAGAUCACACAAAAAAUAUAUGGAUUCAAUUGGCAAACUCACUUAAUCUAUCUGAAUUCUGUUUAAGUGUUGAUGUAAAUUUUCAUUAUGUAUUAGGAAAUUGUCUUAUCCCGGUAUGCACCCCUUUAGAGUCAAUACGGCCUUAUACUUUAUUUAAAGAUAUUCCAGGAAAGAACCUUACUUAUGUAGAUAGUUAUAAUUGGGGACCUGUCACAUGUUAUAAGCCUAAAAAUGCUGUCAAAUUAUAUACAUCUAAAGUGAUCAUGUCAAAUAAGACUAAAUGUGCUGUGUAUGAAAAUUGUACAACUAAAUGUUUGAAGAUCAAACGGUUAAAAGAAAUGGCCUGCCGAAUAGAACAAAAGAUUGUAUAUGGCAACUGCCAUGUUUCCCUGCCAAUGGGAUGGUUUUAUACCUGUGAAGGAGAAACUUUCAACUACAUUCCAGCCAAUUUGACCAAAACCCGUUGCUGUUUAAAUCGAUUAACUAUAGUAUUACCAGAUAGAACUGAUUUGAUUGUGCCUAACAGAGUUAAACGGUGGUCACCUUAUACUGCACCAGGAUGCGAUGAUGAUGUGGGUCUGCUAACAGAUGCAGAAGUACUAACCAUGAUAGGAUCUCUGGUUGCCAUGCCGUCUAUAGGAGUACAUGCUGAAAAAGCAGUACGAAAAUUAGCUUGUAAAGUAGUAAAAGGAUUAAAUGCCACUUCAUCAGCCUUGGCGCUGAUCAACCAAGAAUUACAAGAACAAAGGCAGGCAAUCUUAGACAAUAGAGCAACAAUAGAUUACCUGUUGCUCUUCCACCACCAAGGUUGUGAAAAGAUAAAAAACAUGUGUUGUUUCAAUUUGACCGAUAAUAAAAAAAAAAAAAAUGGCCUGCCGAAUAGAACAAAAGAUUGUAUAUGGCAACUGCCAUGUUUCCCUGCCAAUGGGAUGGUUUUAUACCUGUGAAGGAGAAACUUUCAACUACAUUCCAGCCAAUUUGACCAAAACCCGUUGCUGUUUAAAUCGAUUAACUAUAGUAUUACCAGAUAGAACUGAUUUGAUUGUGCCUAACAGAGUUAAACGGUGGUCACCUUAUACUGCACCAGGAUGCGAUGAUGAUGUGGGUCUGCUAACAGAUGCAGAAGUACUAACCAUGAUAGGAUCUCUGGUUGCCAUGCCGUCUAUAGGAGUACAUGCUGAAAAAGCAGUACGAAAAUUAGCUUGUAAAGUAGUAAAAGGAUUAAAUGCCACUUCAUCAGCCUUGGCGCUGAUCAACCAAGAAUUACAAGAACAAAGGCAGGCAAUCUUAGACAAUAGAGCAACAAUAGAUUACCUGUUGCUCUUCCACCACCAAGGUUGUGAAAAGAUAAAAAACAUGUGUUGUUUCAAUUUGACCGAUAAUAAAAAAAAAAAAAAAAUCAAAGAGGAGAUAGAACAAUUAGAGGACCUGGCAAAUAAAGUACACAACAAAGAUGGUGGAGACCUGUUUAAAUGAUUAACCUCAUGGCUGCCCAACCUACAAUGGUUAAAACAAUUAUUCCUUGUCUUUAUAGUCAUAUGUAUUUGCUUAUUAGUAUCAUGCUGUUGUAUACAGUGGAUGCCUAUGUUUAUGCGUAAGAUUACUUAGGUUAUAGAAAAUCAGUGGGGAAUGUGGGACUGUGUGAUUCAAAAUUCAUUUAUUCCCCUUGCCUCUGUUCUGUUUAGAGUUAGUGGUCAGAAAUGUGCUUGCUAAGCAGAUAAAAUCUGUAACUAAGAGUUCUUAGUUAAAUCAUCCACCCUCUUGUUUGCCCGGAA